UAACGGCGAGUGAAGCGGUAACAGCUCAAAUUUGAAAUCUGGCUCUUUUAGGGUCCGAGUUGUAAUUUGUAGAAGAUGCUUUGGGUGUGGCCCCGGUCUAAGUUCUUUGGAACGAGACGUCAUAGAGGGUGAGAAUCCCGUAUGUGACUGGGUGCUUUCGUCCGUGUAAAGCUCUUUCGACGAGUCGAGUUGUUUGGGAAUGCAGCUCAAAAUGGGUGGUAUAUUUCAUCUAAAGCUAAAUAUUGGCCAGAGACCGAUAGCGCACAAGUAGAGUGAUCGAAAGAUGAAAAGCACUUUGGAAAGAGAGUUAAACAGUACGUGAAAUUGUUGAAAGGGAAGCGCUUGCAACCAGACUCGCAGUCCAUUGAUCAUCCUCUCUUCUGAGGGGUGCACUCGGUGGUUUUCGGGCCAGCAUCGGUUUGGGUGGUGGGAUAAAGGCCUUGGGAAUGUAGCUUCUUUCGGGGAGUGUUAUAGCCCUCGGUGCAAUGCCGCCUACCCGGACCGAGGACCGCGCUUCGGCUAGGAUGCUGGCGUAAUGGUUGUAAGCGACCCGUCUUGAAACACGGACCAAGGAGUCUAACAUCUAUGCGAGUAUUUGGGUGUCAAACCCAUAUGCGUAAUUAACGUGAACGGAGGUGAGAACCCUUAAGGGUGCAUCAUCGACCGAUCCUGAUGUCUUCGGAUGGAUUUGAGUAAGAGCAUAGCUGUUGGGACCCGAAAGAUGGUGAACUAUGCCUAAAUAGGGUGAAGCCAGAGGAAACUCUGGUGGAGGCUCGCAGCGGUUCUGACGUGCAAAUCGAUCGUCAAAUUUGGGUAUAGGGGCGAAAGACUAAUCG
rnacentral:rRNA from 1 species